rnacentral:lncRNA from 1 species
CUAAGGGCUCGUUUGGUUCGCGGGAAGUAUUUUCCCUCCUAGGAAUAUGAUUCCUGGGAAUCAGAUUCCUAGGAAGAGGAUACCUAGGAAAGUACUUUUGGCAUGUUUGGUUAACCAUGGGAAAGUGACAAAUUUCCAAAGUGCUUAUGUUUGGUUGACCAUCCACUUUCCUAGGAAAGUUAAGUAUAAUUCCUAUUAUGCCCUUAAUAAAAAUUAGGUCUUUAAUGCCUCUUUAAUGCUUCUUUAAUGCUAAAG